UACAGCCAUUUCUAGAGACUGAUUCAUAGC
rnacentral:piRNA from 1 species